rnacentral:rRNA from 1 species
GACGACGCUGGCGGCGUGGAUUAGGCAUGCAAGUCGAACGGUAGGAUACCUUCGGGUAUCUGAGAGUGGCGAACGGGUGAGUAACACGUAGGUGAUCUACCCUCAAGAUUGGGACAACCCAGGGAAACUUGGGCUAAUACCGGAUGAAAGCAGCAGUGAUGUUGUUUGAAAGGUGGCGUAAGCUGCCGUUUGGGGAUGAGCCUGCGCUCUAUUAGUUAGUUGGCGGGGUAAAGGCCCACCAAGGCGAUGAUAGAUAGGCGGCCCUAACGGGUGGUCGCCCACACUGGGAUUGAGAUACGGCCCAGACUCCUACGGGAGGCAGCAGUCGAGAAUAGUCUACAAUGGCCGAAAGGCUGAUAGUGCGACGCCGCGUGAACGAAGAAGCCCUUCGGGGUGUAAAGUUCUUUUAUAUGUGAGCAGUGCUUUCUAUGUGAACAGCAUGGGGAGAGAGAUAUUAGCAUAUGAAUAAGCAACGGCUAACUCCGUG